UGGCAAACAUCCUGGGCCAUUUACA
rnacentral:piRNA from 1 species